rnacentral:rRNA from 1 species
AGUGAACGCUGGCGGUAGGCCUAACACAUGCAAGUCGAACGGCAGCACAGUAAGAGCUUGCUCUUACGGGUGGCGAGUUGCGGACGGGUGAGGAAUACAUCGGAAUCUACUUUUUCGUGGGUGAUAACGUAGGGAAACUUACGCUAAUACCGCAUACGACCUACGGGUGAAAGCAGGGGAUCUUCGGACCUUGCGCGAAUGAAUGAGCCGAUGUCGGAUUAGCUAGUUGGCGGGGUAAAGGCCCACCAAGGCGACGAUCCGUAGCUGGUCUGAGAGGAUGAUCAGCCACACUGGAACUGAGACACGGUCCAGACUCCUACGGGAGGCAGCAGUGGGGAAUAUUGGACAAUGGGCGCAAGCCUGAUCCAGCCAUACCGCGUGGGUGAAGAAGGCCUUCGGGUUGUAAAGCCCUUUUGUUGGGAAAGAAAAGCAGCAGGUUAAUACCCCGCUGUUCUGACGGUACCAAAAGAAUAAGCACCGGCUAACUUCGUG